rnacentral:lncRNA from 1 species
GGGUUGCACAGCGGAGCCCACUGAGAGGCUGCCCAAGGCAGAUGGAGGAAUGGAAACUGAGAAAGCAUCAUAGGCUCAUGUCUAACAACAUGAACAGACUCUGGAACCUCAGAAGUAAAAUGCAAAGGCGAGGACAGCCCAGGAGGAAGCUCCACUCCUGCCUAAGGACCCCAAAGCACUCAAACGCUAUCUUCUGAAGGACUUUGGGAGACAAUAGAGGUUUGCAUGGCUGCAAUGAAAAUUGGUUAGAUGGUAUGACAUUUUGUCCAGUCAGUCUACUAUGUUUUGAUUCCUUUAUAUUUAGUGUCCCUUCACCCCACUUCUUUUCAAAAGAAGACUAGCUUUCUUGAGAACACAGAGCAUCUGCCAUGGAGAUGUUGUGAGCACCAGAGCAGCCCAAGGCUGUUGAGUAACACCUGCCUGCAGCUGGACUCAAGAUGGGACUGGGUUCUGAGAAAGACUGCACACUCUCCCUAUUGGAAAGACAGACAUCAUUUCGGGAAAUAUUCAAUAAAAAGUUUCUGAGACACAGAGUCCCAUUCAUGGUGGGAGGGAUUGAAGGGAGCUGUUUUCCCUCUUAAGGCUUGGCUCAGUCUGGAAGGAUGCUAUUUAAUGUAACCCAGAACUGAUGAUUUUGUUGAUCAUGUUUCAAAACCCCUGCCCUUUAAACGAGUUCCCAGAGUAAAUUGAGUGCAAUUGUGGGAAAUUGAAGUUUUUUUUAAAAAAGUCAUUAUUAUUUUUUUGAGAUUUGAGGGAGAAGAUGACAGGAGACGCUGAAUGGAAACCUGCCCAAGGACAGAAAAAUAAAAGAGGCUGGGGGAGGUGGGGAUGAAUAGAGCAAAGAAAGACGAGAAUUCUGGGUCGGAAACUCUUGCUGAAUGAGUCAUUCUGCAGGACAAAUAAAAC